GGCUCAGGAUGAACGCUAGCUACAGGCUUAACACAUGCAAGUCGAGGGGCAGCAUGGUUGUUGCUGCAACAACCGAUGGCGACCGGCGCACGGGUGAGUAACGCGUAUCCAACCUGGCCCUUAGUAGGGGAUAGCCCGGCGAAAGUCGGAUUAAUACCCUAUGUUUUCCGUUGCGGACAUCUAAGAUGGAACAAAGGCUUGCCGCUAAGGGAUGGGGAUGCGUCUGAUUAGAUGAUAGGCGGGGUAACGGCCCACCUAGUCGACGAUCAGUAGGGUUCUGAGAGGAAGGUCCCCCACAUUGGAACUGAGACACGGUCCAAACUCCUACGGGAGGCAGCAGUGAGGAAUAUUGGUCAAUGGUCGAGAGACUGAACCAGCCAAGUAGCGUGCAGGAAGACGGCCCUAUGGGUUGUAAACUGCUUUUAUGCGGGGAUAAAGUCACCUACGUGUAGGUGUUUGUAGGUACCGCAUGAAUAAGGACCGGCUAAUUCCGUGCCAGCAGCUGC
rnacentral:rRNA from 1 species